rnacentral:lncRNA from 1 species
GGAACUUGGUCUGCUUCAGCCCAAGAGGAAUCAAAAGAUCAAAAGCAGUUUGGGAAGGCCAGAACCGUCAAGGGAUGGAGGGAGAAGGAAAAUCCAGGGGGAAGGGGGCAGCCUGCAACCCCCAAGGGCAGGUGUGGGGCUGCCAGAUGCUCCAGGCAGGGGGCCAGAAGGGGCUCACAAAGGCUUGCCCUCCAGGGAGA